GUUGAAACACCGAUUUCCGCACGAUCCCUCCGAAGUUAAGCAAUGUCGAGCCUGGUUAGUACCUAGAUGGGUGACUGCUUGGGAACACCAGGUGCUGUAA